CCUUGUUCCUUUAGUUUACCCAGCACCCUCGGGGUGGGGCACUCCUAAGGAGACUGCCGGUGACCAAACCGGAGGAAGGGUGGGGAUGACGUCAAGUCAUCCAUUGGCCUUACGGCCAGGGCUACACACGUGCUACAAUGGUCGGUACAAAGGGUUGCCAAGCCGCGAGGUGGAGCUAAUCCCAUAAAACCGAUCGUAGUCCGGAUCGCAGUCUGCAACUCGACUGCGUGAAGUCGGAAUCGCUAGUAAUCGUGAAUCAGAAUGUCACGGUGAAUACGUUCCCGGGCCUUGUACACACCGCCCGUCACACCAUGGGAGUGGGUUGCUCCAGAAGUAGCUAGUCUAACGCAA
rnacentral:rRNA from 1 species